GUUUUGGCCAUGCUGGGGAAAGCACGCAUUGACUUCACACACACAGGUUCCAGUCACAGACCCUUCCACAGAGCAGCGGCAACUGACCACAGCAUCUAAAAAGCAAGAGUAGCUUUUAUCUGGAGAUUGAAUGGGAAGCCCCUAAUCCAGCCACCAUGUCAGCUCCCACCGGACACCUGUUAAUCAGGCAAAGCCACCAACAAUCACUGAACUUUUUGGGUACCCUCCUCUUCAUCAUCUGUGUCCACCCCCCUCUCUUCUCCCGUUGAGAUCUUCCUUGGCCUUACGAAGCAGAAGGAAAAAAUCCUUCUCUAACCUCUCCGGCUUGUUGACUACUCAACCCACGGCCAGGGUUCUAGAUUGGGAAUCCAAGUUCCAGAAACACCAGGAUUUUACCAGGCAACAUGUUCUUGCUGGGAUCUGAGUUGCCACUGGUCCAGACAGAUGGGUUCUAGGUACAAGGGCAGCAGCGUAUAGCAAGAGCAGAGAGAAGAGGACUAGCAUUGUGUUAAUACCCAUUGUAGACUGACGAUAAUCAUCACCAUUCCUUCUAUAGCGAUUUCCAUCCACGGCCUGUCAAGUGUAGCUUCGCAACAUCCUGGAGAAACAGGUAGCACAUCAACACUCCUGCGGAUCCCUCGAGACCCAUUUCUGCCACAUUGCCCACAAGUCAGCCAGUCGAGAACAUGACCCUGCGCUUUUGAUGGGACUCAGACAUGUGGCUUUUUGCAGAGUUGCCUGAAUACCUUCUGCAGUUCUGGACAGGGCAGAGCCUGCGUGAGGACUGGCGAGCAUUCUGGAUGGACUGCCUGGUACUAGAAGAACAGUGCUUAUCCUGCAGCUGUGCCUCUCUAGGGUUCCUGUACACCCAGGAGCAGUACAGGAAAUGGAGGGUAGGGCGUGAAUACAGAGGGAUGGGAAGUCCUUGGUUUAAGGAGCUGACAGGGCAGCAGUCAUGGAUAUACUGAGACAAGGUCCCCAUUAAAGAACUUCUUGGCUCU